rnacentral:misc_RNA from 1 species
GAUGAAGAACGCAGUGAAAUGCGAUAAGUAGCGUGAAUUGCAGAAUUCAGUGAAUCAUCGAAUCUUUGAACGCACAUUGCGCCCCUUGGUAUUCCAUGGGGCAUGCCUGUUCGAGCGUCAUUUGUACCUUCAAGCUCUGCUUGGUGUUGGGUGUUUGUCUCGCCUCUGCGUGUAGACUCGCCUCAAAACAAUUGGCAGCCGGCGUAUUGAUUUCGGAGCGCAGUACAUCUCGCGCUUUGCACUCAUAACGACGACGUCCAAAAGUACAUUUUUACACUCUUGACCUCGGAUCAGGUAGGGAUACCCGCUGAACUUAAGCAUAUCAAUAAGCGGAGGA